CGUUAAGCGUUGUCCCGAAUGACUAGCCAAGCUGGCCGACUGAGGUGUGAAGUGAGUCUCAGAUGUCAGAUUGUUGGUUUUGGUGAGUUGCAAAUGAUGCAUGGCACAGAUGACUGUUUGCCAAUGUUGGAAAGGUGUUGGGUGGGAGGGGUCAGAUGCAAUCCCACCAUCUGAAGGAUGCAGUCAGGCAGAACUUGAAAUGGUGCUGGUAGUAGUACAUAGGAGCCACUGGAGUGUUUGAGGAGCAACUGGUGAACAAGGAUUAUUCAAGACUUUCUAUUUACCAGUAUUGGUUUGUGGAUGGAGAAUAGGUCAUGUAGGUGCAUGUAAAUUGGGUUAUAUUUUUCUCCUGUAUUGUCAUGGAAGCCCCCACACAAAAUAGUCUAUACCAAAAGGUUAGCUGUUGAACCCCCCCACACUUCAGUUCUGACAUUCAGUCCUGUCUCGACCUGUUAAUUGGUUCAAUUUUGGGCCCUUAAGCCUUUAUUGAAAGGACAGUGUGGAAACAGGCAGGGUGAGAAAGGGGAAGCGAAUGGGCCAGGUCGGAUAUGAACCCCAAACCGCUGUGAUGAGGACGUGGCCUCCAACAGUUGCAGCAUGAUGUAAGCCAGUGUGUUUCCUGUGCCAAGAGAGAAACCAACAAAGUUGUGUUAAUGACAAUUGAAGAAGACGGCAACGGACUAACAACCCUCCUUGAUGACAACGCCUCCGUGCCCCAGGAUGGAGAAGACGGCCAAGAUGGAUCCUGCCUGUUCUUUUUGACCCUGUACAUCAUCAGCUGUGACCUGACCCCGAGAUCCCCAGCCCUGUAUGCUGCCCCUCCCCCAGAACUCCACCUCCACAUGGAACAAGUAACUCAGCAAACCACAGGACGUGGGCAACACAAAUUCUGCAAGUUUAAAAACAGACUGUUGCACCUUAAGACAAAAACGAAAUUCUACCCACUGCAACAAAUCUACUGAGACGUGAAAAACUGUCACCACCAGAGACUGAAGCCAACAAAUACUACACGAUGCACCACACUGACUCACAAGAGGACACAACACAACCACACAACACGAUUCAAUUGAGACAGAUUUUGGAUGUUUUUAUAGCUGUAAUUUUAUUUUGAAAACCUGUACUGAAUCACUGAACAUUUUACCCUUUGUUUGUAAAAUAAAUGUUUUUUUCUUAA